rnacentral:rRNA from 1 species
UUUAAGGUCUCUAAAGAGCCGUCCGAGACUAGGACGUUGAUAGGCAGGGUGUGUAAGCGUUGUGAGGCGUUGAGCUAACCUGUACUAAUGACUCGUGAGGCUUAACCAUACAACCCAAAAGGGUUU